ensembl:snRNA U1 U1 spliceosomal RNA
GUACUUGGGCGCAGGGAGAUACCACAAUCAUGAAGGUGGUUUUCCCAGGAGGGAGGCUGAGCCACUGCAAUCCGGGUGUGCUGACCCCUGUGAUUUCCCCAAAUGUGGGAAAUUUGACUAAUUUAUGGUAGUGGGGCUGUGUUCAUGCUUUCCCCUC